ACCCUGAUGCAGCAACGCCNCGUGAGUGAUGACGGUCUUCGGAUUGUAAAGCUCUGUCUUCAGGGACGAUAAUGACGGUACCUGAGGAGGAAGCCACGGCUAACUACGUGCCAGCAGCCGCGGUAAUACGUAGGUGGCAAGCGUUGUCCGGAUUUACUGGGCGUAAAGGGAGCGUAGGUGGAUAUUUAAGUGGGAUGUGAAAUACUCGGGCUUAACCCGGGUGCUGCAUUCCAAACUGGAUAUCUAGAGUGCAGGAGAGGAAAGUAGAAUUCCUAGUGUAGCGGUGAAAUGCGUAGAGAUUAGGAAGAAUACCAGUGGCGAAGGCGACUUUCUGGACUGUAACUGACACUGAGGCUCGAAAGCGUGGGGGAGCAAACAGGAUUAGAUACCCUGGUAGUCC
rnacentral:rRNA from 1 species